GACGAACGCUGGCGGCGUGCUUAACACAUGCAAGUCGAACGGAAAGGCCCUGCUUUUGUGGGGUUCUCGAGUGGCGCACGGGUGAGUAACACGUGAGUAACCUGCCCUUUACUUUGGGAUAACUUCAGGAAACUGGGGCUAAUACCGCAUAUGAGCUCCUGCUGCAUGGUGGGGUUUGGAAAGUUUCGGCGGUUGGGGAUGGACUCGCGGCUUAUCAGCUUGUUGGUGGGGUAGUGGCUUACCAAGGCUUUGACGGGUAGCCGGCCUGAGAGGGUGAGCGGACACAUUGGGACUGAGAUACGGCCCAGACGCGUACGGGAGGCAACAGUGGAGAAUAUUGCACAAUGGGAGGAAGCCUGAUGCAGCAACGCCGCGUGCGGGAGGACGGCCAUAGGGUUGUAAACCGCUUUCGCCUGUGACGAAGCGUGAGUGACGGUAAUGGGUAAAGAAGCACCGGCUAACUACGUG
rnacentral:rRNA from 1 species